GACGUAGGGGGCGAGCGUUGUCCGGAUUCAUUGGGCGUAAAGAGCGCGCAGGCGGCUUGGUAAGUCGGAUGGGAAAUCCCGAGGCUCAACCUCGGGUCUGCAUCCGAUACUGCCCGGCUAGAGGUAGGUAGGGGAGAUCGGAAUUCCUGGUGUAGCGGUGAAAUGCGCAGAUAUCAGGAGGAACACCGGUGGCGAAGGCGGAUCUCUGGGCCUUACCUGACGCUCAGGCGCGAAAGCGUGGGGAGCGAACAGG
rnacentral:rRNA from 1 species